UAUGAGAUCGGACCUAACAUGAUGUCCACAGAAAGGCAAAUGUUCACAUCUUCUGGAAGACAUCAUAAACUCCUGUCUGCAGGCAGGUUGAGUGUCUUACCUGUCUGCUCUCUCCUCCUCAUCCAGCUGCAGCGUGUUCUCGGCUGCAGCGGGCGAAACCAGGAUCACACCUGGUGGAAUGUCUGUGGGAGAUGUUGUCAUGGCCGUCAUGUCUGUAGUCCCCGUGUCAGUCACUGUCACACAGUGAACUUCUUCUUCUUGAUUCUGGGUUGGGAACAGGAAACAGGACUUUAAUGACACUACAGCUGCAUGGGGAGACAUUUUCCCGUUCGGAUGAAGUCCUCCAAGCUGAUGUCGAGAGACUCGAACACCAUGGCCUUCCCAACACUGGUAUCAAACCAGCCUAAGAACUGGAUGAUGUUGGACUGGUCCAGUUUCUGGCACAUUAACUUUUCCAUUGUGGAAACCUGCAGA